UGGGGAAUAUUGGACAAUGGGCGCAAGCCUGAUCCAGCCAUGCCGCGUGUGUGAAGAAGGCCUUAGGGUUGUAAAGCACUUUCAUUGAGGAGGAAGGCCAUUUAGUUAAUACCUAAGUGGAUUGACGUUACUCAAAGAAGAAGGACCGGCUAACUCCGUGCCAGCAGCCGCGGUAAUACGGAGGGUCCGAGCGUUAAUCGGAAUUACUGGGCGUAAAGCGCGCGUAGGCGGUUAGUUAAGCGAGAUGUGAAAUCCCCGGGCUCAACCUGGGCAUUGCGUUUCGAACUGGCUAACUAGAGUGCAGUAGAGGGUGGUGGAAUUUCCAGUGUAGCGGUGAAAUGCGUAGAGAUUGGAAGGAACAUCAGUGGCGAAGGCGACUGCCUGGACUGACACUGACGCUGAGGUGCGAAAGCGUGGGGAGCAAACA
rnacentral:rRNA from 1 species